GCGGGCGUAGCUCAGAGGUAGAGCACCUGCUUCCCAAGCAGGGGGUCGCGGGUUCGAGUCCCGUCGCCCGCU
rnacentral:tRNA from 2 species